rnacentral:rRNA from 1 species
GAUGAACGCUAGCGGCGGGCUUAAUACAUGCAAGUCGAGCGGUAACAGGUGUAGCAAUACAUGCUGACGAGCGGCAGACGGGUGAGGAACACGUACGCAACCUCCCUCCAACUGGGGCACAACUCCGUGAAAACGGGGCUAAUUCCCCAUAACAUUGCAAAGGGCAUCUGAUUGCAAUUAAAGAUUCGUCGGUUGGAGAUGGGCGUGCGACUGAUUAGCCAGUUGGUAGGGUAACGGCCUACCAAAGCAACGAUCAGUAGCUGGUGUGAGAGCACGACCAGCCAC